CUCUUUCAGCUGCCAACGUCCAUUUUGCCUGUCGCUUUCAUUUUCGACGUCUUCCGAUUGCUUGCCAGGUCCGUUCAGGUGCCAGUAUAGUCGGCAGCGGCAGCGGGGGCAGUGGGAGCGGCGGGGGAGGAAGAAGAAGAGGAAGAGCAGCAGGUAAAUGGAAGGAAAAUUGAAUAACUUUCAAGUGGGGGAUUUACCAACUGUGAUAUACAAGCCUGACUUUAUCACAGAGAGUGAAGAAAUGCAUCUUUUAGAUAGGGU
rnacentral:misc_RNA from 1 species